AUGGCCGCUGGUUCCAGCACCGUAACCCACUGGUACCAGCUCUGCCAUGCCAUAGAUGCAGCAUCACGGGUCGGCAUCCGCGGGGGCGCAUCUCGCUGUCGAACUAGUCGGACAUGGCUACAGGGUAACAACACGGGGGAAGAAAACGAGAAGGAGCUUCAUGCAGCGGUGGUGGUGCUGGUGGUGGUGCUGCUGUAG
rnacentral:rRNA from 1 species